rnacentral:rRNA from 1 species
AGAGUUUGAUCAUGGCUCAGAUUGAACGCUGGCGGCUGGCUAAAACAUGCAAGUCGAGCGCGAAAGUGGAGCAAUCCAUGAGUAGAGCGGCGAAAGGGUGAGUAAUGCGUUCCUACGUACCUCAAGGUCGGGGAUAGCCAGUGGAAACUCUGGGUAAUACCCGAUGUGAUCGAGAGAUCAAAGGCUUGCCGCCUUGAGAGCGGGGAACGUCCUAUCAGGUAGUUGGUGAGGUAACGGCUCACCAAGCCAUUGACGGGUAGCGGGUGUGAGAGCAUGGCCCGCCACAUCGAAACUGAGACACUGUUCGGACUCCUACGGGAGGCUGCAGUAACGAAUCUUCCGCAAUGCGCGAAAGCGUGACGGAGCAAUGCCGCGUGCAGGAUGAAGCCCCUCGGGGUGUAAACUGCUGUCAGGAUUAGGAACACAAUGACCAGUCCCAAAGGAAGAGACGACUAACUCUGUGCCAGCAGUCGCGGUAAUACAGAGGUCUCGAGCGUAGUCGGAAUCACUGGGCUUAAAGCGUGCGUAGGCGGAUGUGCAGGCGUCGUGUGAAAGCCCUCGGCUCAACCGGGGAAUUGCACGGCGAACCGCAUGUCUUGAGACAAGUAGAGGCGGUCGGAACGAUAGGUGGAGUGGUGAAAUGCGUUGAUAUCUAUCGGAACGCCAAAGGUGAAGACAGACCGUGGGCUUGUUCUGACGCUGAGGCCGAAGCGUGGGGAGCACGGAUAGAUACCGGUAUCAGCCUAACAAUGUGCACUAAUCGAAAGAGUACUGACGCUUUUCGGCGAAGU